rnacentral:rRNA from 1 species
UACGGAGGGAGCUAGCGUUAUUCGGAAUUACUGGGCGUAAAGCGCACGUAGGCGGCUUUGUAAGUUAGAGGUGAAAGCCUGGAGCUCAACUCCAGAAUUGCCUUUAAGACUGCAUCGCUUGAAUCCAGGAGAGGUGAGUGGAAUUCCGAGUGUAGAGGUGAAAUUCGUAGAUAUUCGGAAGAACACCAGUGGCGAAGGCGGCUCACUGGACUGGUAUUGACGCUGAGGUGCGAAAGCGUGGGGAGCAAACAGGGAGUUAAGA